rnacentral:lncRNA from 1 species
GGUGGAGACCAACCUGGGCAAGAUGGUUAAGCCAGCACUUAACACCACAUGAAAUUGAAGUUCAUGGAAUUCAAAGACGAGGCCCAAGAGGCAGCAGCAAAGGUCAGCAUCUCCACCACCCCAUCAGGUCUUGCCCAUGUUGACCCAGGUGCUGGGACAGGAGGCACACACUGAACUUACUGCUCCCGUUGACUUCUCAUCUGGUUCCAGGUCUCCACUUUCCACCCCUUUUCCUCCACAGACUAAAAGCUAAGUCAUUCUGGGUGUGACGUGUGUCUAGAAAGAGUGUGUCUGGCUUCUUGUUUUUACCACAAAGUGUGCCUGAGAUAUAGGUCUGUGCCGCCAUUUUGGCUCUCAAGCCAGGGAACCUCUUGGUGUUCUCAUUUUGGAAUUUUAUUCUGGAAAGUUCGGAGGACCCAGGGACUCCUUACUGUGAUACCCGAUUCUCUGGCUUUAAUCAAUUAUUCAUUAUUCACUCAGGUACUUAAUGAACAACUCUCAAUAUCUAAUUUUGUUCCAGGCUUUGAAGAGGGUCAGAAGGAUGGAAGACUUGGCCCCUCCUCUCUAGUAGUGUACACCAUGCCUGAGGAGACCACAUAUCAACAUGGAACAGCCCCGGUUAGGGCACAAGGGCGCUGGGGCCUGGACAGUCAUGCCAUGGGAGCUCAGUGGGAGGCUGGACUUAGGCUGAGGUGCGUGGGGAGAGCUUCCUGGACAGCUGGGAUCUAAGGAUGCUUAAAUCAUGGACAGGAAAGCAGCUGCAGCCUAACGAAGAGCAGGGGUGUUAGGAGGCUUCCCUAAAGUUCUGUGACCCUGUAGAACUGUUGCCACUGCUAUGGUCACUGCUGCAACUACAAGCACUGCAUCUGGCAUGGGAGCUUGAUGGACCAGAGCACAUGCAAAGAGGGCAUCGGAAAUCCCAGAAGGGUAUGCGGGACCUUGUACCCUGUGGGAUUCCCAUGCUUACUUCAGGCAAACAGUAAGCCAGUAAGUGGAUGGCUGGCAGAGCUUCCCCCAGACUCUGAGGCUCUCAAACCCAUCUUUCGUGCAGAGAGAAUUGUGUGGUUAUCAUCCCCAGAACUCACCUGCUGAGUAAUUCGAUGCGAGUGAUUUGAUGUUCAGUCCCUCCUAGCAGGAGGCAGACCAGCAGGGAGUUACAGUUAACACUAACUGGGCAUGGCUAUUGAGGCAGGAGAGUAGGGUCUGGAGGCAGGGAACCUAAGGCUGAUUCGCGCCGAAUUCCUAGAACUGAAUCAAAAAGAAAAGCCCACCUCUCCACACCCAAAUAACAAAAGGAUCAGAGGCUACUCCCUUUGCAACCCCCCAACUUCCCCUGCAUUGCAGAUGAAAACUGAAAGUACCUCUGAUUGGUCCCCUCCUGCAACCAGUCAGGCUGGUCACAGGCCAAGUCUUCAUUUGCAGAGGAGUAUAACUUUGUAAGUUCACUUCAGCCUCUGAUUGGUCACUUUCUGCAAUCAAUCAGACAUUUGCAUAGGGUGUAACUUUGUAUCUUCACUUCAGCCUCUGAUUAGUUGCUUUCUGCAAUCAAUCAGACUGAUCGUGGGCCACUAUUUCAUUUACAUAGGGUGUAAACCAAGUAACCAAUGGAAAACCUCUAGAGGGUAUUUAAACCCCAGAAAAUUCUGUAACCAAAGCUCUUGAGCUGCUUGCUCGAGCCCCCUCCCACUCUGUGUCGCGUACUUUUGUUUCAAUAAAUCUGUGCUUUUCUUUUGUU